UGCUGAGUUCCAGAAAACCACUCUUCCUGAAAAUCUGGAAACAAUAUUCUCUGUGGCAGAUAUCCUCAUCAAGGAAGGUCUCUCUGGGCUCUCAUAAAGAGUUUACCUCAAUCCAGCUGCAACUUCAUUAAAUGGAGGACUGAGUUUCCAACAAGAAAAGGUCAACAUUUCCAUUUGGGCAUUCAAACAUCUCCAAGAUGGGCUUGAAGCUUUAGUGUUCUAUUGAUUCAGCCAUCUCCAUGCUGAGCACAGAACUUUGCCCAGAAUAGAUGGGCUGUGUCAAUCAAAGCCCACCAGUGGGGUUAUUUAUUUUCAGUUUGAUUCACAGGGCUAUCAAAUAUCGAAACUGAAGGAGAUCAAGGUAAUUGUACUUCAGUUUAAAUUUGCAAAUGGAACUUUCACAACUGAUACAUUACUGAAGCUGAAAUUCAUGAGAAACUCUUUGAAAUGACAAGGUUUUCUCCUGCUUUCAUUUGGCCUGUGUUUACCAAACACUCACUAAAUACAAAAACACUAAAUUAGGGUCUCCAGAG